GACGAACGCUGGCGGCGUGCUUAACACAUGCAAGUCGAACGAAGUGGCGGACGGGUGAGUAACGCGUAAUCAACCUGCCCUUCAGAGGGGCACAACAGUUGGAAACGACUGCUAAUCCCGCAUACGGAAGGAGGGGAUUGCGUCUGAUUAGCUAGUUGGAGGGGGAAAGGCCAACCAAGGCGAGGAUCAGUAGGCGGUCCUGGAGGAGUGACCGCCACAUUGGGAAUUGGACACGGGCCAGGCUCCUUCGGGGGGGAAGCAGGGGGAAUCUUCCGCAAUGGACGAAAGUCCGACGGAGCAACGCCGGCUGGGGGGAGACGGCCUUCGGGUUGUAAAACUCUGUUAAUCGGGGCGCGGUACCGGAAUAGAAAGCCACGGCUAACUACGUGCCAGCAGCCGCGGUAAUAC
rnacentral:rRNA from 1 species